rnacentral:rRNA from 1 species
UACGAAGGGGGCUAGCGUUGCUCGGAAUUACUGGGCGUAAAGCGCACGUAGGCGGCUUUCUAAGUCGGGGGUGAAAUCCUGGAGCUCAACUCCAGAACUGCCUUCGAUACUGGAGAGCUCGAGUCCGGAAGAGGUGAGUGGAACUCCUAGUGUAGAGGUGGAAUUCGUAGAUAUUAGGAAGAACACCAGUGGCGAAGGCGGCUCACUGGUCCGGUACUGACGCUGAGGUGCGAAAGCGUGGGGAGCAAACAGG